AGCAGCCGCGGUAAUUCCAGCUCCAAUAGCGUAUAUUAAAGUUGUUGCAGUUAAAAAGCUCGUAGUUGAAUUUCGGGACCAAUAUGUCGGUCGUGCUUCGGUACGUACUUGCAUUAUUGGUUUCUCCCUUCUGAAGAACCAUGAUGUCAUUAAUUUGGUGUCUUGGGGAAUCAGGACUGUUACUUUGAAAAAAUUAGAGUGUUUAAAGCAGGCUCACGCUUGAAUACAUUAGCAUGGAAUAAUGAAAUAGGACGUUUGAUUCUAUUUUGUUGGUUUCUAGGAUCGACGUAAUGAUUAAUAGGGAUAGUUGGGGGCAUUAGUAUUCAAUUGUCAGAGGUGAAAUUCUUGGAUUUAUUGAAGACUAACUACUGCGAAAGCAUUUGCCAAGGAUGUUUCCAUUAAUCAAGAACGAAAGUUAGGGGAUCGAAGACGGUCAGAUACCGUCGUAGU
rnacentral:rRNA from 1 species